rnacentral:rRNA from 1 species
UGAGGAAUAUUGGUCAAUGGACGAGAGUCUGAACCAGCCAAAUCGCGUGAAGGAAGACUGCCCUACGGGUUGUAAACUUCUUUUGUACAGGAAUAAAAGACAUUACGUGUAAUGUAUUGCAUGUACUGUACGAAUAAGCAUCGGCUAACUCCGUGCCAGCAGCCGCGGUAAUACGGAGGAUGCGAGGGUUAUCCGGAUUUAUUGGGUUUAAAGGGUGCGCAGGCGGGAUUUUAAGUCAGCGGUGAAAUUUUCAGGCUCAACCUGAACACUGCCGUUGAAACUGGGAUUCUUGAGUAUGGAUGAAGUAGGCGGAAUUCGUUGUGUAGCGGUGACAUGCUUAGAUAUAACGAGGAACUCCGAUUGCGUAGGCAGCUUACUAAGCCAUAACUGACGCUCAAGCACGAAAGCGUGGGGAUCAAACA